rnacentral:rRNA from 1 species
GGCCGAACCGGAUCGUCCGCCCUCGUGGUGUGUACGGUUUGGUUUGUCCUUUUGUCUAAGGAAAAUCUCUGUUCUUCACUGAACGGGGAUUGGACUUAGGCCUAUUACUUUGAGAAAAUUAGAGUGUUCAAAGCAGGCCAUCGCCUUGAAUACAUUAGCAUGGAAUAAUGGAAUAGGACUUUGGUCCUAUUUUGUUGGUUUCUAGGACUGAAGUA